rnacentral:rRNA from 1 species
CAGCAGCCGCGGUAAUGCGAAGGGUGCAAGCGUUAAUCGGAAUUACUGGGCGUAAAGCGCACGCAGGCGGUUUGUUAAGUCAGAUGUGAAAUCCCCGAGCUUAACUUGGGAACUGCAUUUGAAACUGGCAAGCUAGAGUCUUGUAGAGGGGGGUAGAAUUCCAGGUGUAGCGGUGAAAUGCGUGGAGAUCUGGAGGAAUACCGGUGGCGAAGGCGGCCCCCUGGACAAAGACUGACGCUCAGGUGCGAAAGCGUGGGGAGCAAACAGGAUUAGAGACCCCUGUAGUCCCUGUCUCUUAUAC